GGUGGCUCAGUGGUAGAGUGCUUGCCUUGCAUGCAUGAGGCUCUGGGUUCGAUUCCUGUGCACCA
rnacentral:tRNA from 1 species